AUUGAACGCUGGCGGCAGGCCUAACACAUGCAAGUCGAACGAGUGGCGGACGGGUGAGUAAUAUCUGGGAAUCUGCCUGCUGGAGGGGGAUAACUACUGGAAACGGUAGCUAAUACCGCAUACCAUCAGAUGUGCCCAUCUGGGUUUAGCUAGUUGGUGGGGUAACGGCUCACCAAGGCGCCGAUCCCUAGCUGGUCUGAGAGGAUGACCAGCCAAAAUGGGACUUAGACACGGUCCAGACUCCUACGGGAGGCAGCAGUGGGGAAUAUUGCACAAUGGGCGCAAGCCUGAUGCAGCCAUGCCGCGUGUAUGAAGAAGGCCUUCGGGUUGUAAAGUACUUUCAGCGGGGAGGCGUUACCCGCAGAAGAAGCACCGGCUAACUCCGUGCCAGCAGCCGCGGUAAUUC
rnacentral:rRNA from 1 species